rnacentral:lncRNA from 1 species
GCAAGAUCAAGGGCCACAGGCCUUCCCCAAAGGUCUCUGAAGGAAUUAGAAGUGGCCCUUUCCAUCAGAGACAGAGAGAACCUAAGGCAUCGGUUUACGUGCGUUGGUAGAGAAUCCCCUUUUCCCAGUGUCUUUAGCUGGGAUUCUCUUUAAAGGCAGACUCUGAGACAAGGAUUUGGAUGCAAGCAGUUGAUUUGGAAGGUGAUUCCUGGAAGCUCAGUCACGAAAUGGGAAAGUAAUCAAGGAAGGGGAUAGAGAAGCAGAGAAGAAGAGUCUUCAAGACAUUAUCAUAUGAGUAGUCUGGAAAUCUGCCUCCAUAUAGCAGAUUGGAAUGAAGAGACCAAUCACGUACAGAAUGGACAAAAAGAAAUGCAUAAUAAAUGCAGUGGAAGUGUUUUUAAGACCUAGUGACCAGAACAGUUCAUGCUGGAUGAUGGAGGUCAGGUGUGCAAUAAAGGAACCCAUUGGAGAACUCAGAAGACUAAGGGAUGUUGUAAAGCUCAACUGAGAUAAUAUAUGAUAAAACACGUGGAACGCAAAAUAUGAAACACUGUAAAAAUAUAAGAUUUCAGGUAUGAUACCAGCAUGGAGAGGCAUAAACAAGAAGGGAAACGUUGAACCAGCAUGCAAAUCAGAGGACUGGAUGAAUAAAUACCUAUGUGAUUGAUAUCAUGGAAACUGAUGCACACUUGUGUUUGUACACCUGGAUCAAAAGUGAGGAUGAGCAGACACCUGAAACUAAGACAUUCGUUUUGACUGCUGAUUGGUUCAGGUCGUGAUACCUCAAUAUAUGGCACCUUGGCAUCUUGAAUAUUUUAAGCUGAAGGAGUUUGAGAAAACAGCAGAAGCAGGAAAGUCUCUCUGACCUUCUCCCCUGAAACAGGCCAUCAAACAGUCUUGAGAGGAGCCCUCCCACACCAGGCGGAAAGGAGCGUCCUUAUCUCUGAGGAAAAAGGGACCCGAGAAAAAUCUGGACAGACAGGCCUUGCUGAGUCUGCCCAGUUUACUACCCUUCCCUUCCAUUCCUUGACCUGUCACAUUCCUCCACGACUGUCCAUGCUUCACCAAAUGCAGCAUGAAAGUACACAGGUUAAUUUUCAGACACAGCAAGGGACCCUAAGAUAGUCUAGGAAGACGUUUUCCUUCUCUACACUGGUAAAUUACUCAAAAACAGAGGCAUCAAAUUGUUUUUCUCACAAACGUCUGGAUAUUUCAAACCUUACAGAACCUUGAAAGGAAUAGGCUGACUCAAAUGUUGGCCUCCCACGUGGGACAC